GAUGAACGCUAGCGGCAGGCCUAAUACAUGCAAGUCGAACGGUGUCUUCGGACAUAGUGGCGCACGGGUGCGUAACACGUAUGCAACCUACCUUACACUGGGGGAUAGCCUUUCGAAAGGGAGAUUAAUACCGCAUAAGACAGUAGCUGGGCAUCCAGCAGCUGUUAAAGAUUUAUCGAUGUAAGCUGGGCAUGCGUCCAAUUAGCUAGUUGGUGAGGUAACGGCUCACCAAGGCAAUGAUUGGUAGGGGAACUGAGAGGUCAAUCCCCCACACUGACACUGAGAUACGGGCCAGACUCCUACGGGAGGCAGCAGUAGGGAAUAUUGGGCAAUGGACGCAAGUCUGACCCAGCCAUGCCGCGUGCAGGAUGAAGGCGUUAUGCGUUGUAAACUGCUUUUAUACAGGAAGAAACUACUCUUGCGAGAGGCAUUGACGGUACUGUAUGAAUAAGCACCGGCUAACUCCGUGCCAGCAGCCGCGGUAA
rnacentral:rRNA from 1 species